rnacentral:lncRNA from 1 species
AGACGGAAACUGCGAUGGGCCUCCCAGAGAUCCAAAAAAGACUGUUCGAAACUGCAAUUACUACUGCCAGAAUGGCGGCGACUGGGACAACAAAUACUUCCCAGCGGGAACAAAGUGUCAGUAUCAGCCAGGACGCAUGGGUACCUGCGUGGCACAAGCAGACGAAUCGACCGGCUGCCAACUCGACGAGGAUGUAAGUGUCCAAAAUCCGGGACACGGAGUUCAGCAAUCAACUACAGAGGCAGAGCAGACUACAACGCCUUCCAAAAGAAAAAAGAAAAGUUCAAAAAAGUUGAAUAAGAAGACUAAGAAGCCCAAAUCUUCUACCAACGCAGCAACGGAAUCCAAAGAUAAGAAGAAAAAGAAAAAGAAACGUCAGACGCAAGCGGUGGAAUGGUAGACAGAGCCGUCUCAAGAA